GUUGUGGGGUCCUUUCCACGGAUUCCGUGACGCAGCUAACGCAUUAAGUUCCCCGCCUGGGGAGUACGGCCGCAAGGCUAAAACUCAAAGGAAUUGACGGGGACCCGCACAAGCGGCGGAGCAUGCGGAUUAAUUCGAUGCAACGCGAAGAACCUUACCAAGGCUUGACAUACACGAGAACGGGCCAGAAAUGGUCAACUCUUUGGACACUCGUGAACAGGUGGUGCAUGGUUGUCGUCAGCUCGUGUCGUGAGAUGUUGGGUUAAGUCCCGCAACGAGCGCAACCCUCGUUCUAUGUUGCCAGCACGUAAUGGUGGGAACUCAUGGGAUACUGCCGGGGUCAACUCGGAGGAAGGUGGGGAUGACGUCAAAUCAUCAUGCCCCUUAUGUCUUGGGCUUCACGCAUGCUACAAUGGCCGGUACAAUGGGCUGCGAUACCGUAAGGUGGAGCGAAUCCCAAAAAGCCGGUCCCAGUUCGGAUUGAGGUCUGCAACUCGACCUCAUGAAGUCGGAGUCGCUAGUAAUCGCAGAUCAGCAACGCUGCGGUGAAUACGUUCCCGGGUCUUGUACAC
rnacentral:rRNA from 1 species